rnacentral:lncRNA from 10 species
AUGGACUGGAUGCUCAUCAGCCCCUGCCAAUGGAGAGACACGAGGCCCUCAUGCAAACUGGCAGCCCUAGAGGAGAACCCACCAUACCUGUUGGACAGAAACAGUACCCAGAACCCUCAGUCUGCCUCUGCCUGACAUGGCCCUGGCUGCCUGGCCAACUGGCCUGUAGAAGAGGGAUAUUGGCCUGAGUCAAGGGGACAGAGUUGGAGGCAUUGCAUUGUCACCUAGCAGCAGUAUGUCUGGGCAACAUGUGUUACCUCUCUUCCCCUUCUCCUGCCGGCCAGAUAUCCCUCAGAUUCAUCCUGGAUCCGGUACUGUUCUUCUUCGAGUAUAUGGCCUGCUUCAAGAUAAUGUACACUGCACAUCAGCUAAAUAAUUAUAAAGCAGCUAGUGUCUCCCAAGACGGAGCCCCUGCAAUGUCAGUGAUUUUGACAGGCAGAGGUGACUGCCACAGAUCGGAGGAUCAUAUCCUCUCAAUACAGCCUCCAGGGAAGAAGCACAGGAGCGACUUUCCAUCUCUUGAAUGUCUUCUUCUCCCUGGGGAAGAAGCACCUAAAUCUCCAGUCCACUUCCUCUCAGGCCCCACCUACCAGAUCUGGGUCACAGCCCUCCCCUCCGCCUGCUGCCAGGCUGAAAAGAACAAGCAGGGUCCAGUGGAGAAAGGUGAGCAAUGCGAAGGCCUGGCCCGAACACUAUGA